rnacentral:rRNA from 1 species
AUGGCCUUUAUGACCAGGGCUACACACGUACUACAAUGGACCGGUACAAAGGGCAGCGACACAGCGAGUGUGAAAGCCCAAAUCCCGAAAAGCCGGUCUCAGUCCGGAUUGGAGUCUGCAACUCGACUCCAUGAAGUUGGAAUCGCUAGUAAUCGCGGAUCAGCACGCCGCGGUGAAUACGUUCCCGGGCCUU